AAAACAUCCCUGUUGUCGUGUUUCGGUUCGUCAUGCUCUGUAAUGGACCUGACCAGUUCUCUAGUAUUACUCCCGUUAUGUAUCCUCUUGAAAGCUGAAAUCAUGAAAACUACCAAUAUACAAGUACCAGAAUGCAGACUGGACGGCCGUCUCCAGAGAUCGGGAAAUACUUCGGAGGACAUGUGCACCCAGUGCCGAGAAUGUCUAAACAAGUCACUGUAAACUGGAUUGCCGUCAUACGACAACUGACCACCGAUGUAAGGCGUGCCCUGUUUGCAGGGAGGACGAGUUCACGAAGGCUAAUUGUUCUGCAACACAUAAUACCGUGUGUAAGCCGUGCAAACGGUGCAAGCCGUCUCAUUUUGUCCACCGGAAGUGCUCAAAUCAAACUAACACUCAAUGUAGACCGUGUACCAAAUGCCGUAAAGGUCAUACAUAUAUUUAUAAAAAAUGCAGAGGAAACAAAGACACACAGUGUAGACAAUGCUCCAAGUGUAAACCAGGUCAUUACGUCAGAAAGAAAUGUACAAUACGUCAUGAUACUAAAUGUGCUCGCUGUCCUUCUGGUACAGAUUGUGACAGGUGUCCGUCCGGUACUUACAAGUCCGUUCAUAACCGCUCUAUGAGUCGAUGUGUUCCAUGUGAAGCUGGAAGAUUUAUGGAUAAAGAUCAGCACUUUUUAACUUUCUGUAAAACGUGUCGGCGAUGUGGUCCACAUGAACUCAUCGUUCAAGCGUGUAACAUAACACAUGACACGAGAUGUGGACCAUGCAUAUCAGGGUAUUUCCGCCUGUCGUCAUCCCACAAUUGUGCAAUGUGUUCGCCCUGUCCCCCGAAUUCUACAGGCCUAGAAGUAGACGAAUGUCGACAAUCUACAAAUGCUAGCCGGAUCUGCAUGCCACUGACACCUUUAUAUGACCACCAUUAUCAACGACCCUCACCCAAAGACCCGCCAUUAAAAUCUGCCUCGACCCCGCCGUUUCAGCCGCCAACUUCAGAUUUUCGGAUUGGGUCAAAGUUAGAUGAAAAACCACUGGAACUCGACUUUGAGACUGAACUCAACACUGAGACAGAGCACUCACAGCUCCCCGACAAAUCUACUCACGACUCUGUCGUCAUCUUAGUCGUAGCUUUGGUGAUCUCACUUCUAUUUAUAGGGAUGACUUUGGUUCUUGUGACAAAAUUCAAUAAAAAAAGCAAAAAUUUAAAAAGAAAAGUCAAUAGCGAGAUUAACGCUGAAACAGUCUCCAUACCAACCCUCUUCUCGACCAAUUCGAUCACAGAUUGUUUCGAUCUUGGUGCUCUGUAUAAGAUUUCGAAUCCUAAGUACAACAGUGAUCCGGAUUUCCAUAAAGCGGACUUUCGGAAUGUCUCUGAAUAUGCAUAUCCUGCCAGAAAUGCCAGGGUUCCGAAAUCCCGCUCCAUGGGGACUGUUGACGUGAUGGAUUUAGAAUUUUGGAGGGAUUGGUAAUUAAACAACGCCCAGUCUCAACUGUAAAAUCAAGGACCAAGUUAUGACUGUGUCAUUUUAAAACUCAUUUAAAGAAAUAAAUUUGCUUGAAUAA
rnacentral:misc_RNA from 1 species